rnacentral:rRNA from 1 species
UCAGGAUGAACGCUAGCGGCAGGCUUAACACAUGCAAGUCGAGGGGCAGCGCGUGUAGCAAUACGAUGGCGGCGACCGGCGCAAGGGUGCGUAACGCGUGAGCAACAUGCCCGCAACAGAGGGAUAACCGGAGGAAACUACCGACUAAUACCUCAUAAGGAUGUAGGACGGCAUCGUCCAGCAUCUAAACUUACGAGGGUUGCGGAUUGGCUCGCGAGACAUUAGGUAGACGGCGGGGUAACGGCCCACCGUGCCGACGAUGUCUAGGGGUUCUGAGAGGAAGGUCCCCCCACACUGGAACUGAGACACGGUCCAGACUCCUACGGGAGGCAGCAGUGAGGAAUAUUGGACAAUGGUCGGAAGACUGAUCCAGCCAUGCCGCGUGCAGGAAAGACGGUCCUAUGGAUUGUAAACUGCUUUUGUACGGGAGCAAUAAGGGUGUCGUGACAUCCGAUGAGAGUACCGUACGAAUAAGCAUCGGCUAACUCCGUGCCAGCAGCCGC